GACUGAAGUUGAAGUUGGACAGGCAUUGUCUCUCCCACAACACUCAAAAGAACGCAAAGCAAUACUGCAAAAACUCAGGAACAAGGACAACUAUCAGCAUAACACCGAUGUUCUUCAGAGGGAGAAGGGACACUUAAGAUCAAUAUGACCAGCGAUUGUGAUGCCAGUGAGGGUGAAAGUGAUCCUGAGGAUGAUGUUCCUACUGGAGCUGCAGGUGUCUCCAGUAAUGUUGGUGUGGGAACUCCCAACCUUCAACUGAACAGCAGAAUACAGCAGUAAUCUUCAAAACAUGGCUGAAGAAAACACACCUCUAUCAGUGGCAAAUGACUAAUAACUAACCACCAUCUUUUACACACUUGCAAUAAAGAAAGAAAUAAAAAAAACACUCUGUACUUCCACUUCAACUCUAGCACUGUAUUACUCUGAUAUGUUGAACUGAAUAUGGUAUGGUAGCAUUAUUUCAAUAGAGCUCUCCCUUGGAUUAAUUGUAUCUGCUUGAAUUAUUCUCAUUUGUAAUUGUCACUUUGGAUAAAAUCACCAGCUAAAAAUGUAAGUCUCAAAUCCAUUCACCUUAUAAAAUCACACAGAAAAUGUACUGUACAUGUUGUUUUGUUCAUCAGGACAAUGGAGUUCACUGCACCAGGAAUCAGAGAGCUUUUAUCGUUGUCUUGGUCUGAGGGCCUGUCUUCAGUCUCCUGCUCUCCUUGCAGAGCCCCCACCAUGGAGCUCAGCGUCCCAAAGAUACCUGCAUAGUUCUCCACCUGUGCAGAAACACACAGGCUGACCUCUGACCCCUCCAGUUUGGGCAGGACCUCAGGCUGGGAGACAGGUGUGAUACUGUAACCUGUGCUCUGUACAGUAAUGCUGGACUGAAUGUGGCACAUAUGGAAAAUGCGUAAGGGGUAAUGUACAGUCAGUCAGUUGUUAUCGCAAAGUAAACCCGACAGGAUGAUCAGGAAAAGUAAAGUCUUGUAUCACACUGAAGGGGUUUAUUCUACAAUAACAACAAGUUGACUGUACAUUAUACUGCUUAUUACACGGCUACAUACCAAAUAUGUAAAUAAAUGGACAUAAAAUACUGAUUUGCAUUGAAAUUAUGUAAUUAUGUGGGAAAAAAGAAAUCGCUGAACAGCUGAUUUGCACCCCAGUUUGCGUUGGAGUUCUGUUGUUGUUUAUUUUGUAAAUAAUGACCAACCGGGUACGCGUUAUAUACAAGACUACUUGCCAAAUAAAUAAAUAGAUGGAAACGACACACUGAGUUGAGUAGACAUUUUUUGUUAGCUUACUUGUAGAGAUCACACCAUGAUCCGAGAAGUAGGAAAGAUGACUCGCAGUACCCGGAUGACCAGUCUGCUAUGUCUUAAUCCCAGGAUGUUAACAUCUGACAUAACAGACCGCUAGAUGGCGCCAUUCACCAAUCAGAAUCGAGUAUUCCAGAGAGCCGUGUAAUAAGCUGAAUUAAUAUAUUCUCAGCUUCAACAGAUAGUUCACUCAAAAAUAAAAAAUUCUGUCAUCAUUUACUCACAUUCAUGUUGUUUCAAACCCAUUUAAUGUUUUCUCUUCCAUGGAAGAAAGUCAUAUAGGUUUGGAAUGACAUGAGGGUGAAUAAAUGAUAACAGAAUUUUUAUUUUUGGGUGAACUAUCCCUUUAACAGUGAUAUUUUCUCACACAAUCCACUAACUUCUCCAAUAAUACAUACUGGGUAGUAAACGUAUGAUGGGAACAUUUAAUGUUUGUACUUUAUAUAUGUUGUAUAAAA